rnacentral:rRNA from 1 species
UACGUAGGGGGCGAGCGUUGUCCGGAUUUACUGGGCGUAAAGGGUGAGUAGGCGGUUGUAUAUGUCAGGUGUAAAAGGCUAUGGCUUAACCAUGGUUAGCACUUGAAACUGUACAACUUGAGUGCAGGAGAGGUAAGUGGAAUUCCUAGUGUAGCGGUGAAAUGCGUAGAUAUUAGGAGGAACACCAGUGGCGAAGGCGACUUACUGGACUGUAACUGACGCUGAGUCACGAAAGCGUGGGUAGCAAACAGGAUUAGAUACCCUGGUAGUCCCU